UAAGAGAGAGAGAAAAAAAGAAAGAGAAAAAGGAGGAAACAUAGCGAAAACAGCUCUUUCCUCACUUCUCUCUCGUUGUAUGAAAUCUUAUGCACAAUAUUGUGCCAAUACUGGUAAUUAUAGAGAGGC
rnacentral:ribozyme from 1 species